rnacentral:lncRNA from 12 species
CACAUUUGAAAGGAAGAAUAUGCUGCCGAGGUGUGAAGCGACAGGCCCGGCCGGCACGGUGGGGCUCGGCUGCAUGCCACCCUCCUGCUCACCUGCAACUGGAUUUGCUCAUCUGCUUGGCAUUUUGAGAAUGGAAGGCAGCUUCCUGACACUCCUCGCUUAUUCACUCAUUUCUACUGUGCCUGAGAAGCAAACCGUGUCACAUUCAGAGCAAUCAUACAUUAUGGGGACGGACAGUCUUGAUCCCAGACGCCUUCCGUAGGAUACUAACAUUUCUGGAUCAGCCAUGUCGCUGUGACACCUAGACAUGAAGCAGGUGGCAAAGACACACAGACACUCCAUCCAAUCUGUUGUUGGGAGAUCAGCUGUUGCAGACUGCCGAGGAGCACGGAAGCGAGGGAGAAGGACUCGGUUUGCGGCUGCUGCCAGGCAUGACCUAAAUCCAGUAGGAGAGAAGUUGAAAACAAAGCUACUUUUCUAAAGUUCCUGACAAGCUCACGGAAUAUUCACCAGCCCUCUCCUUACGGAUCAAUGUCACGGUAAUGAUCCCUUUGACAGCAUCCUAUCAGUCGCCUGAAGAGACAGCGCCAACCCUGAGCGUUCUGUUUUCAUUAAGUGACGAGUCUCCCCCCCUUCCCUCCCGCGCCCUGUUACCUAGUCUGAGUGGCUCUUGGGUGCUGCUCUCUCUCGGGUGCUGCUCUCUCUUCGGUGUCCUGGGCUUUCCCGUGCGGCCAUGGGUGUCUGUCGCAUGUGCUGAUGUCGAACCCUGAAUACAAGGGGUGCUGGGGGUGGCCGGGACUAGAGCCCUGGGAUGCACACCCAUGAGUGGGCCGUACGCCGGGACUAGAGCCCUGGGAUGCACACCCAUGAGUGGGCCGUACGCCGGGACUAGAGCCCUGGGGUGCACACCCAUCAGCGGGGCGUAUGACGGGACUAGAGCCCUGGGAUGCACACCCGUGAGUGGGCCGCAUGCCGGGCCUCCACGCUGGGAGCAACGACGCAGCAUUGGGCCGAUACCUGCCAGUGCCAGGCUCCAGCCUACGAUCCACAGAGCCACCACCAAGGACUUGAGCCCUCUGUCUGUCAGUGACGACCACGACUCCCACUUCUGCAGUAGCUGGAUUCUCUGUGCAUGUGCCCCACCACAUUUCUGUGUCUCUGAGCACAACCAUCCUCCUCCUCAUCCUCAGAAGUGCCAGGCGGUCACGAGGGCCUUACGUACGUCAGCCAGGUUGCCCUCACCAUGCGUCCUCCACACAGCUCCAGUUGUUCACCCCAUUUUACAGAUAAACACAGACCGAGAGCCAAGUAUCUGCACAGAGGUGCCUAGAAAGUAGCAGAGCUGAACGUCAAGUCACGGGGUCCAGCUGUAGCCCUCAGGAGCGAACCACAUUCCUCCUGCCUUCUGAUCUGUAUGUUAGCUCAGCAGUAUGGGAGGGUUUUUAAGAAUCAUUAUUUCUUUUCACUCAAUAAAUAUGAUGUUUGUAAGAAUUAUCCGUGUUCU